rnacentral:rRNA from 1 species
UACGAAGGGGGCUAGCGUUGCUCGGAAUCACUGGGCGUAAAGCGCACGUAGGCGGCUUUUUAAGUCAGAGGUGAAAUCCUGGAGCUCAACUCCAGAACUGCCUUUGAUACUGAGAAGCUUGAGUCCGGGAGAGGUGAGUGGAACUGCGAGUGUAGAGGUGAAAUUUGUAGAUAUUCGCAAGAACACCAGUGGCGAAGGCGGCUCACUGGCCCGGUACUGACGCUGAGGUGCGAAAGCGUGGGGAGCAAACAGG